rnacentral:rRNA from 1 species
AUUGAACGCUGGCGGCAGGCCUAACACAUGCAAGUCGAGCGGAUGAAGGGAGCUUGCUCCUGGAUUCAGCGGCGGACGGGUGAGUAAUGCCUAGGAAUCUGCCUGUUAGUGGGUGAUAACGUCCGGAAACGGGCGCUAAUACCGCAUACGUCCUGAGGGAGAAAGUGGGGGAUCUUCGGACCUCACGCUAUCAGAUGAGCCUAGGUCGGAUUAGCUAGUUGGUGGGGUAAAGGCCUACCAAGGCGACGAUCCGUAACUGGUCUGAGAGGAUGAUCAGUCACACUGGAACUGAGACACGGUCCAGACUCCUACGGGAGGCAGCAGUGGGGAAUAUUGGACAAUGGGCGAAAGCCUGAUCCAGCCAUGCCGCGUGUGUGAGGAAGGUCUUCGGAUUGUAAAGCACUUUAAGUUGGGAGGAAGGGCAGUAAGUUAAUACCUUGCUGUUUUGACGUUACCAACAGAAUAAGCACCGGCUAACUUCGUG